UUUAUCGGAGAGUUUGAUCCUGGCUCAGGACGAACGCUGGCGGCGUGCCUAAUACAUGCAAGUCGAGCGGACAGAUGGGAGCUUGCUCCCUGAUGUUAGCGGCGGACGGGUGAGUAACACGUGGGUAACCUGCCUGUAAGACUGGGAUAACUCCGGGAAACCGGGGCUAAUACCGGAUGGUUGUUUGAACCGCAUGGUUCAGGCAUAAAAGGUGGCUUUGGCUACCACUUACAGAUGGACCCGCGGCGCAUUAGCUAGUUGGUGAGGUAACGGCUCACCAAGGCAACGAUGCGUAGCCGACCUGAGAGGGUGAUCGGCCACACUGGGACUGAGACACGGCCCAGACUCCUACGGGAGGCAGCAGUAGGGAAUCUUCCGCAAUGGACGAAAGUCUGACGGAGCAACGCCGCGU
rnacentral:rRNA from 1 species